GAAAAGCACUCUGAAGAGAGAGUCAAAGACCGUGAAACCGCUCAGAGUAUAAGCCCAUGGUGUCUGGAAGGCAUUGCACCGGUCAUGUCUCGUCAGAGACCUCUGUCUAGGGACUCUUGGUACUGGCUCGUGAGGUAGGGGCAUUCAGUUGCACCCGCCGACGUGUAGGGAGGGCGCAUCGUGGUUGAGCACGUGUGUUUUAUCGCACGCGUGUCUUUCGGCCACGUCGCUUUCUUGGGCGCGGACGUUCAAGGCCAAGAGUUCGAUGGUGCGCUUUGCCCACCACAGCACGUUGUGAGGUCACCCACAGACGCGAGUUGCCGAUCGCGCGUUCGUCUUGCUCGCAUUGUUGUGUCGCAAUAUAUGUGUGUGUGCUCACACACACGCAUAUGACACUAGCAGCAAGUUUUCUCGAACCGGGCGGCACCGAUUUCGGUCGCGUGUUCUGGUACGAUCCUCUAGCGACGAGCUGCUUUCUGGUUAUGAACUGACGUCCGGGCUUCUCUCAUGUGCCGAGAGUUGCCUCAAGCGGCUUGAGCCAACGGGGCCUAUGUGUCACGUGCCUCCGCAGGGCGUUGGUCAGAGUGGUGUCAAGUCCAGCCCCAUGGGUCACGUCUCGAAACACGGGCCAAGGAGUAUAGCAUGUGUGCAAGUCUAAGGGUCUCACAAAACCCGCAGGCGAAAGUGAAAGCAAGAUUGUGGCAGACGGCUUCGGCAACUCUGUCAGGUCGUGUGUGUCUAAAAGCACCGGCUUAUACAAAGCCGAUCCUGCUAUCACGGCAAUGUCUUGAGGCAGGCGCAGGCUUCGGGCUCGCCUACAGCAGUGGUGGCCUUUGCGGCUCUGCUGCGAGCACCGUAGAGCAUGCAUGCUAU
rnacentral:rRNA from 1 species